CAUACACACACACACACGCGUGGAGAUGUGUAUGUGUGCAUAUAUAUAUAUAUUUUUAAAGGAGGAAAAAUCCGGCUGGGAAUCCACAGUGGAGUGCUGUAGAGCCUCGGUGGGGUAACAGAGCUAAGCACGGGGACGUGUUUAUUUCCCGCUGAAUGGAGCUACCGGCCAGCGGAGCGGGGACUCGAGUCCGUCUCCCGGUGAAAAUGGCCAAAAGACACUCCAACAAGCGAAGGGACGGAGAGAUAAAAUAGAAAACAUGUUAACAUAGACAGAUAAAUGCCCUGCCGGACCAUUCCUCCUCUGCGAACACACGCGUCUGUGAGCGCUCACAUCCCAGCCGGUCACCAAGCACGGCCGCGGGGACACAGACCUGGGCACAAAUCUGUAAGGAAUUAAUUGCCCCUCACCUCCUCACACACACUUUUUCAUGUUGCCACAUGCCCACACACUUCUGCCGCAGAAAUAAUACGUGUGGCUAAAGCCGCAGGUGCGGGGAUGGUUGGAAAGUUGUAAAAAGCACCUCGACUUGAGAGUGUCCUGCCGGGAAACCUGGUGUGUUCAGAACCCCACGGGCAAAGAGGUUUUUGCGACUCAAUUUCAAAGACAAGGCUGCAGCGUUCCCAUUGAUCCUCACGGAGCAAAAAAUAACCUUUACCCGAAACAGUGGCCAGGAGGGACUGGGAAGACAGAAAGUGGGGAAGGAAUCUUUCCUGGUCAAAAUGUGGGGAACUGCCUUAUGAUUUCCAAACAAGCCAGAGCUGAGGAGGUGACCUUUCGGGGAGGGUAGGAGAAGGUGGGGGUUCAAAAUGCAGAAUAGCCACAGAUUGUUGCUGAUGUUGGAUUUCCUGAGGAAAAAAAUAAAAGCCAAAACCCAGACCACAACCCAACACCAACCUUUCCUGUCUCGAAUCUGACAAAGUAAACAGGAUUAAUUCACCAUAUGAAAAAACAUAAACGCCGUCCUAACAAAUGCAGAAAUCAGAAGAGAAAGCGGUUUUAACAGGACACGCAAUAUUAAUAGUUUGAACGUAUGAUCGUAAAAAUGAAAAACCAUUGAUAUACGCUCAAAAGCCACCGUAUACGCUGAUUGCUCAAGCAUUAAUGAAGAAUGCCCCAGAUUAACUAUUUGCUCUUCGAGGGAUGCAGCGAUAUAACUAUCUAUUAGCACCAUUAGAUGCUAUGCUAUUUAUUUGAAAACACCCCUGCGAGUGGGUUGAGACAGAAGAGAUGAAUGUAAAAAUGAACUGCAGCUAAUUUCGCUAAAUAAUCCUCGAAACCUGAGCGCUUUGCAAGGAAGGGGGAGAUUCUCCACUGUCCUUCUCCAAGGCUAAUGACAAUAGAAAUGCUCUGGUUUAAAAGUGAGACCGUGUUGGUUUUCCAAAUAAACAAACGCAUCCCUCCUGCCA